AAACACUUACUGGUCGAAGCAGCACGUAGUGUGACUAUCUGGGAAGUGAUGCAGCUCUCAGGUCAACACAAACAGCUUGUUUUAGCGCGUGCUAAUUAGACUUUGUUUACAAAAAAAAAAAAAUAGACAAUCAAAAAUGUUGUUUAUCGGAGAUUUGCAAAAAAAAGCAGCGAUGUGGAAAAUAUUCUUGGAGGCGGAGUAACAACAGAGACUUGGAGAUCUGCAUGGAGAUGCUAUUUUACAUCUGUGACAUUUCUUUGACUGCACCAUUCAUCUGAGGAACAAACUUCCAUUCAUACUGUUAUUCCUCUCCUUGACGUUCCCUCCUGUUGUCACUUUACAGUGCUGAUGUUUUAAAUCAGCUGCAUCAGAAGGUGUCUGCUUCAGACGAUAAAUUGCCAAGAUAUCCUGGUGAUGUGAGAAACCAUAUCUUAGUCAGUUGGAGAAUCAGGCUAUCUUGGAUUUUGUCCCUAGUUUAGUUCCUUAAUGAAUCUAUAUACUGUUUAAAAAAGGGGACAUAACAGAUUUUGUAGAUUAAAUUUUCCAGUUUGGUUUAGUAUGAUUUUACUGUUGCUAUAAGCUGCUUUUGGCAGAAUUAUUUUGGCUGUUAUAGAUGUUAAUAUUUCUCUUGUCCCCCUCUGGAGCAAUGGUGGUUGACACUGAUAAAGUAACAUUGCUUUCUUCUCCAGGGAAACACAUUGUGUGAAAAGAAAUGCUAAUCCAGCUAAUGUAAAUCUCUACUGUCUGAAGGUUUCUUAUAAAAAAAAAAACCCUAUAAAGCCCCCAGUUCCAGUAGCUUACGCAAUACACCUCCAUCAGGCAUGCUUAUGUGCUGGAGCUUAGGGUUAAUUGAUUGUGGUGUGGUUUUCGGUGGUGUUUAGUUUGACUAUAUGGUUUGUAUCUGUGAAAAUCUUUGGUCAUCCAGGUGCAGUUAUUUGGAAGGCUUUAUUUCUAUCUGGUUAGAUUGAGUGGAAUCUCUUUUAAGCUUCUUGUAACUUUUGUUUGUAAGUUAAAAGGAUGUAACCAUCGUGCUGUUAAAUUUUAACAUCUGAUUGGUCAGACAGUCUUGGUUCAUAGUGCAGACUGUAUUUCAAAUAACAGAUUUAUAUUAAUGCACUUGUUCUACAAUGUUUCUGUUUCUAUGUGAGCUGCUCAUACACAGGAAUUGGAUUUACAUAAUGGAAGUGCUAUAUAAUCUAAGACUAGUAAUAAACGUUAUUUAACAAAGUUGGUCAUAAGUGAUGAAACGAUAACGUUUUCUAUGGGAUGAUGUUUGUCUACUGUUUUGGGAUAGUGUUUCCACAGAUAGCACUUUGCAACAAUUUAAGUUUUGCACCAUUCACAGCAGAAGACAUUUGAUUCCAGGUUCUUGGAUUUGUUUAUUUUAUUUUAUUAACUUUCACAGGACAAAAGCUGAUAUGUAUAGUAAAUGAUUUCAUGAUAAGCUUGUUCAAGGUGACAAAGAGAUGCUAAUAACAAUGCAGAUGUGUCAUUAAUAAGAACAUAAUGUGUGACAGAGCCUUUAUUUGUCACAUAAACAUUACAGCCCACUGAAAUUCCAACCAUUUUUUAAAAGCUAGGGUUGGAGUGCAGGGUCAGACAUGAUACAGCACCCGUGGAACACAGAGGGUUAAGGGCCUUGCUCAAGGUCCCAAGAGUGCUAGCCCAGAGCCUAAACCCUUGACCUUCGAUCAGUAGCCCAGAGCCUUAAUCUCUGAGCUACCACCUCAAAAAAAUGUAUUUUGUUGGUUUCCUUUAACAACAAAUCCUGACAGGUUUUAUUCCUUACAUGUACACCAGCAUAUUACAUCACUUAAUUUGAAACAUGCAUGCACACACACACACACCUGCAUCUGAAAAGUAGUAAUAGGUGGAUAAUACAUGAAUGACAUCUAAGUAUGUUAGUGUUGGUUUCCUGGGAAACACCACAACAACACCAUAAGCUGCAUUAAAACAGGUACUAUGUUCAACCGAUGUACUUUUUAUUGUCCUUUUGAAAAGUUAAACAUCUGUUUAAGCUGUUGUUCAAUGAAAGGCCAUGAGGUGAUGAUCUUAUUAAAACCAUUUGUUCUGCUUUGCAUUUGAACUUAGUAACCUGCAGCUACAUGCUGAUAAUGUUGAGGGACUGGGGCCUGGAGAUAUUUUAGAUUUGUUCUUCAUUUUCUGUAGAGAUUCCAAUAGAGAAUUUCCUUUGUAAUUAGGCCCCCAUAACAGAGAAUAGCGGUCUGACAAAGAAGUGUUAUGGCUUCAUUUGGAGAUUUUUCUCAUUCCUGAGGUUAAUCUAUCAUGCAGGCUUACUUUCCGGGCUGAGAGAGAUGUUUGCAAUGUUUGUGUAUUGGUUUUGAACAUGGAUGUCUGACUUGUGUGUGCGUACGUGUGAAAUGGAUGUGGAAAAGGCUUGUAAAAUGUGCAGACAUGAGUGUUCUUGUUGAACUAUAUCUUUUAAUGAUAGCAACUGAUGAGGAACAGCACUCACUCAUUCCUGACUUGCGACACAGCUGCACUUUCACACUGGCUUCAACAGAAAGGAUCUGGAGAUACUGGAUUUACAGUGGAUGGGUGACUGACAGAUGAUGUUCUUGUCCUUUCCCUCUUUCUGCCCAUGAGCCACUAAUGGAAAUAUUUAGAGCACAGCAACACUGAACUGAUUACAUACAUACUUUCAUUGAAAUAUAAGUAUUUACAGUACAUGUUAAUUAAUAGCAGUUUACAGAGAGAUCUUUGUUCUGUGGAAAUAAACCUGAAAUGCUAUGACGAUGAUGCCAGGCUUUUUCCUUGUUGAUGUGUGGUGUAACCUAAUGAACGCUGCAGAGGCAAUAUGAGCACAGGAGCGCAUAUAAAUAUUUAUGGACAGUGUAUUCAUACAUCCUGUAGCAGAAACUAAUUAGGGUUCAAUGCAAAAGUUUGCACUUCUUAUGGUUUCUAAAUAAAAGCAAGAAAAAGUGCCAAGAAAACAAGAAAAGAAUGCAAAACAUUGUUUCCAGACUUGAUUUGGAAAAGACAUGACAUAUAGAAGAAGAAUAAUUGCUAUGUCUAGGAAAAUAAGCCAUGCAGUCAGGGAGGCGGACAUGCCAAAAGGGUUAAUAUUAUGAAUAUUAGUAUCUGAAAACACAAAAAAUGUUGGAAGCAGUUAUAAAGGGAAAGGGUGGGCAUAUAAAAUGUAUUGAGAAUAUAUCAGUAGUAAUUUAUUUAGAAAGGAUUUGGGUUUAUUUUCUAGUUUUUCUCCACUGUUCAAGAAACUGCAGCAAUUCUAUAUUUUGUGAAAGACUGUAAAUGUGUGUACAUGGUAACCAGAGGUGAUGGGUGCAGCCCUCACAAGUGUUUACUAAAGAUGAAUGAAUAAAUGAAAAUACCUUAGUAUAUACAAAAAUAUAGUUUUUGGAUUCUUGCUGUAUUGAAAAAAACUAAAACUAAACUAAAGCCCACUAAAUGUUUUGUUUGUCGAAAUAAAUGUUAUUGUAUGUUAAA